rnacentral:rRNA from 1 species
GACGAACGCUGGCGGCGUGCUUAACACAUGCAAGUCGAACGGAAAGGCCCUGCUUUUGUGGGGUGCUCGAGUGGCGAACGGGUGAGUAACACGUGAGUAACCUGCCCUUGACUUUGGGAUAACUUCAGGAAACUGGGGCUAAUACCGGAUAGGAGCUCCUGCUGCAUGGUGGGGGUCGGAAAGUUUCGGCGGUUGGGGAUGGACUCGCGGCUUAUCAGCUUGUUGGUGGGGUAGUGGCUUACCAAGGCUUUGACGGGUAGCCGGCCUGAGAGGGUGACCGGUCACAUUGGGACUGAGAUACGGCCCAGACUCCUACGGGAGGCAGCAGUGGGGAAUAUUGCACAAUGGGCGGAAGCCUGAUGCAGCAACGCCGCGUGCGGGAUGACGGCCUUCGGGUUGUAAACCGCUUUCGCCUGUGACGAAGCGUGAGUGACGGUAAUGGGUAAAGAAGCACCGGCUAACUACGUG